rnacentral:rRNA from 1 species
CGAAAACUCCGCAAUGCGCGAAAGCGUGACGGGGGAACCCCAAGUGCCGUUGGUCUUUUGACUGACGGCUUUUAGGGAGUCUAAGAAGCUCCCGGAAUAAGGGCUGGGCAAGACUGGUGCCAGCCGCCGCGGUAAUACCAGCAGCCCAAGUGGUGGUCGCGUUUAUUGGGCCUAAAGCGCUCGUAGCCGGGCUUGCAAGUCCCUUGUGAAAUCGGACGGCUCAACCGUUCGGCGUGCAAGGGAUACUGCUAGCCUUGGGAUCGGGAGAGGUCGGGGGUACUCUGGGGGUAGCGGUGAAAUGCUGUAAUCCCUGGGGGACCACCAGUGGCGAAGGCGCCCGACCAUAACGGAUCCGACGGUGAGGGGCGAAGGCUAGGGGAGCGAACGGGAUUAGAUACCCCGGUAGUCCUAGCAGUAAAGGAUGCGGGCUGGGUGUCAGGCGCCCUUCGAGAGCGCCUAGUGCCGUAGGGAAGCCGUUAAGCCCGCCGCCUGGGAAGUACGGUCGCAAGGCUGAAACUUAAAGAAAUUGGCGGGGGAGCACUACAAGGGGUGGGACCUGCGGUUUAAUUGGAUUCAACGCCGGACAACUCACCAGGGGCGACAGUUGGUUGAAGGCCAGGUUGACGACCUUGCCGGACUAGCU